CCCCCUUCUCCGCUGCUCCCCCCGGCCCGCCUGCCUCACCGCUCCCGGUGGCUCCCCGCUUGGAAAUGGAGACCGACAACUCUCACCAGAGCUCACCAGAAUCCCACGCCCAUGGUAUCAGCUUUAAAAAGCAAAGCUGCCUGUAGUGUGGCUGAGAUCGCAGGUGCCAACACAGAGGCCCAUGGUAAGCAUCACUAAAAAGCAAGAGAAAAUAGAGUCCCCAGGCAAGACUAUAGUGCUGGUACACAACCAUGUACAGCCUCAUUCCAGCCUUCUGCAGCACCUGCCACAGCAAAGGCCUUGACGCAAACCAAUUCCAAGUCUGCUCCUUCAACCCACCGGCAGCCCAGGGGCCCGAGAAGCCGGCUGUCCAUGCGAGGCUCCCUGGCACCCACCUGGGGGAACAUGUUCCUCCCUAAAUGGGCCCUGCCCGUGAGAGGUGAACCCCGAGCAUGACACCUCGGGAAAUACCAGAAUUAUGCGGCUGGGAAGCAAAGGACUCCGGAUUUAACAGCUCUCCCGCUUUGCAAGGGCGGUUCUGUGUUAUUGUCCUAAUUUCUUACAGAACCCGAGGUGCUCUGUUAUACUCAAAAGAACAAAUAAGAUUCCGAGUGAAGCCUUCAGAAUAAAAGGCUGGUUAGUGUAACAUUGCCAGGGCAGCUACCACCCUGGUCCUAAGAACUAUGAACUACAGUGGGGGGAAGAUUGAGAAACCCCAGGCAGAUCCCAUUAGCCAAGGCGGCUGCGGCUCUGGAAGCCAGUCAACUUCGCGCUUCCAGCUGACUGCUGGAUUAUGCCCGGAUGAGUUUUACAUAUAGCAGGCUGUAUAAGGAGUAUGUCUUUAUGUUUAACAUUUUAAUUUGGAAAUGCUAAUUAGACAUUCGGUCCCCACGGUUAUAUCAAUAGAUACCUAAUCAUUUCCCACUAGAAGUAAAGGAAUACUCAAGACGGUAAACACUCUACUUUCUUUUCCCUAGCUCCGCUACAGUAUCGCUUCUUACAUCUCUUUUCCAGAGGCGUCCCUUCGGACAAAAUAGGCAUUUAUUAAAUGAAAGGGACCGGGGGGUGGAUGGAAAAAAAUUGCUCCCUGUAGCACUCUUACAAUUGAGGUGCGGAGACCCGGCAAUCCUGGCCGAUCCGGGCUUUUUGGAGGUCAGGCAGCAAAGUAGUUCGAGUUUUGCCGAAUUAACUUGUUGCUCGAUUUAGCGUGAAGUUUUUGCUGAUCGCUUGCGGAACCCCGAAGCUGCUGACUGAGGGAGGCACAGCGCAGGGAGUUGCGUUUCGAAUUCUGGUGCUAUUAAA